UCCCUGAUAGCUCAGUUGGUAAAGAGUCUGCCUGCAAUGCAGAAGACCGUGGUUUGAUUCCUGGGUUGGGAA
rnacentral:tRNA from 1 species